CGUGAGACAGGUGCUGCAUGGCUGUCGUCAGCUCGUGUUGUGAAAUGUUGGGUUAAGUCCCGCAACGAGCGCAACCCUUAUCCUUUGUUGCCAGCGGUCCGGCCGGGAACUCAAAGGAGACUGCCAGUGAUAAACUGGAGGAAGGUGGGGAUGACGUCAAGUCAUCAUGGCCCUUACGACCAGGGCUACACACGUGCUACAAUGGCGCAUACAAAGAGAAGCGACCUCGCGAGAGCAAGCGGACCUCAUAAAGUGCGUCGUAGUCCGGAUUGGAGUCUGCAACUCGACUCCAUGAAGUCGGAAUCGCUAGUAAUCGUGGAUCAGAAUGCCACGGUGAAUACGUUCCCGGGCCUUGUACACACCGCCCGUCACACCAUGGGAGUGGGUUGCAAAAGAAGUAGGUAGCUUAACCUUCGGGAGGGCGCUUACCACUUUGUGAUUCAUGACUGGGGUGAAGUCGUAACAAGGUAACCGUAGGGGAACCUGCGGUUGGAUCAC
rnacentral:rRNA from 1 species